rnacentral:rRNA from 1 species
GACGGACGCUGGCGGCGUGCUUAACACAUGCAAGUCGAACGGAAAGGCCCUGCUUUUGUGGGGUGCUCGAGUGGCGAACGGGUGAGUAACACGUGAGUAACCUGCCCUUGACUUUGGGAUAACUUCAGGAAACUGGGGCUAAUACCAGAUAGGAGCUCCUGCUGCAUGGUGGGGGUUGGAAAGUUUCGGCGGUUGGGGAUGGACUCGCGGCUUAUCAGCUUGUUGGUGGGGUAGUGGCUUACCAAGGCUUUGACGGGUAGCCGGCCUGAGAGGGUGACCGGCCACAUUGGGACUGAGAUACGGCCCAGACUCCUACGGGAGGCAGCAGUGGGGAAUAUUGCACAAUGGGCGGAAGCCUGAUGCAGCAACGCCGCGUGCGGGAUGACGGCCUUCGGGUUGUAAACCGCUUUCGCCUGUGACGAAGCGUGAGUGACGGUAAUGGGUAAAGAAGCACCGGCUAACUACGUG